GAUGAAGAACGCAGCGAAAUGCGAUAAGUAAUGUGAAUUGCAGAAUUCAGUGAAUCAUCGAAUCUUUGAACGCACAUUGCGCCCGCCAGUAUUCUGGCGGGCAUGCCUGUUCGAGCGUCAUUACAACCCUCAGGCCCCCGGGCCUGGCGUUGGGGAUCGGCGGAGCCCCCCGUGGGCACACGCCGUCCCCCAAAUGCAGUGGCGGUCCCGCCGCAGCUUCCAUCGCGUAGUAGCUAACACCUCGCGACUGNNNNNNGGCGCGGCCACGCCGUAAAACACCCAACUCUUCUGAAGUUGACCUCGAAUCAGGUAGGAAUACCCGCUGAACUUAAGCAUAUCAAUAAGCGGAGGA
rnacentral:misc_RNA from 1 species